rnacentral:lncRNA from 1 species
CCAGCCACUGGCUGAAAAACAUUAGUGCUUUUGGUAAGUGCUCUAUCAGAGGACAAUGGGACUGAGGCGCGUGCACGAGUCGACCCCAUGUUUUUAUUUUCUCUCUCUUUGAAUCUAAACACGCUUUCCCGGUCGGAAUAUUAUCGCUUUUUUACGAGAAAAAUGGCAUAAAAAUUGAUUUUAAACAGCGGUUGACAUGCUUCGAAGUACGGUAAUGGAAUAUUUAGACAUUUUUUGUCACGAAAUGCGUCGUGCGCGUCACCCUUCUUUACCAUUCGGAUAGUGUCUUGAACGCACGAACAAAACAGAGGAUAUUUGAACAUAACUAUGGAUUAUUUUGAACCAAACCAACAUUUGUUAUUGAAGUAGAAGUCCUGGGAGUGCAUUCUGACGAAGAACAGCAAAGGAUGACAUCUGUCUGAACUGGACUGUUUGGACACCAUGAUAAAACGAUCCCAAAUGGCCCCCUACUACCUAUGGGACCUGGUGGUCAAAAGUAGUGCACUACAUAGGGAAUAGGGGGUCGUUUUAGGACAGACUCAAGAUAGUGUCUGGGACGCACGAAC